CUGUGGAGGAAAAGCAGGGGAUCGCAAGACCUUGCGCUUUUGGAGCGGCCGAUGUCUGAUUAGCUAGUUGGUGAGGUAAAGGCUUACCAAGGCGUCGAUCAGUAGCUGGUCUGAGAGGACGACCAGCCACACUGGGACUGAGACACGGCCCAGACUCCUACGGGAGGCAGCAGUGGGGAAUUUUGGACAAUGGGGGAAACCCUGAUCCAGCCAUGCCGCGUGAGUGAAGAAGGCCUUCGGGUUGUAAAGCUCUUUCAGCCGGAACGAAACGGUCACGGUUAAUACCCGUGACUACUGACGGUACCGGAAGAAGAAGCACCGGCUAACUACGUGCCAGCAGCCGCGGUAAUACGUAGGGUGCGAGCGUUAAUCGGAAUUACUGGGCGUAAAGCGUGCGCAGGCGGUUUUGUAAGUCAGAUGGAAAUCCCCCCGCAAAACAGG
rnacentral:rRNA from 1 species